rnacentral:rRNA from 1 species
UACGUAGGGUGCAAGCGUUGUCCGGAAUUAUUGGGCGUAAAGAGCUCGUAGGCGGUCUGUCGCGUCUGCUGUGAAAACUCAGGGCUUAACCCUGAGCUUGCAGUGGGUACGGGCAGACUAGAGUGCGGUAGGGGAGACUGGAAUUCCUGGUGUAGCGGUGAAAUGCGCAGAUAUCGGGAGGAACACCAAUGGCGAAGGCAGCUUGCUGGGACGGUACUGACGCUGAGGCGCGAAAGCGUGGGGAGCAAACAGGG